GACAACAAAUAACUCUCUUUUCAAGCAAAUCUCGUAAUGCCAUGUGUGAAGCGCCCCCCCCCAACCACCCCCAAUCACCACCACAAAACCAAUAACAUUAGUAUGAUCAAAGAUGCCUUGCACGCAAUCUGAUGUCCAGGUGGGCCUUCUUUGAACCAGACGUAUGCACCCAAACGAGAAAUAUUCCGCCGGUUCGACCAUGCCCUCCACAUGUUUGAUGGAAUGCCGAGCUGGGAUGGUCGUCCCGUGCUAGAGCUUCGCUGCUGUGAGGCACUCCUCCGUCAGCACGUCGCAUGUCACACUGCCCGCAGCCCAUACCGGCGGGUGCACGCGGAGUUGAAGUGCGAUUCUCGUCAAACAGCAUCACCUUCUGUUCUGCCAACCGGUAUUCUGCCCAUCUCCUCCUAACAUUUUGUUAGUUUGGGGAAAAGAACUGUAUUGGCUUCAGAUUUGGGCUAAACAAACAUCAAAAGACUGGGCAACCUUCAAUAACAACACCCUUGGCUGUCGGGCAGGAAGCCAGAGGACACCCAUCCAAGUCAUUUCCCGGCCAACUGAGAUUGACGUUCUCCAGCCCCAAGCACAGGUACAGCAACACUCCCAUGAAUGCCAGCCCAGCGUCCAGAGCACCUGAGAGCACAUAAUUGUGCCGCUGCCACCAAUCUCUCCUGUACCUGUAGACCACGUAGCCUGACAAGAAGCCGACAAUGAUCCAUGUAAUAUAAUUCACAGCCGUUGCCGGAGGCAUGGAUCCGGUGGCACCAAUCAAUACUGGCAUGUUUAUGAGACGGAUCCAUUCCUGGUUUGGAAAGGCCUUGUGUCCAAACCAGACGAGCACAGGUGCCAGUGCACCAGCCAGGAAGAACCAGUUGACGUUGGAGUAGGUGCCGAGGUCUCCAAAUAUCCGGCGUGGACCAAUAAGACCCCAUAUGACAGAGGCAUCGUAGAAGACAUGGUCACCGGGGCAGGUCCAUGGACUGUCUGAAGGCAGGAGCUCUUUGUUGCAGAUGUCAGGAAUUGUUUCCAUAAGCCACCAUGCAGUACCCAAAUAAACCAUUGCAGCAAUUACAGUGCCUACAACCUAUAUUGAUUUUCCAACACUUAGUAGUCUGUGGCAACCAAACAAAAGUUGGUUUCUACAGGUAUGCCUCACUCAAAGAUGUUUCAGAUUUCCUAGCUGACAUAAUUUACUGUGCCACAUAGUUUUAUGAUGUCUUAGAGAGGAUCUAACUUUGCUUUCACAAAUAUUGAGGCUUUCAAAUGAACAAAUAUAGGUAGAGUUAUUAAAUUAAGCUGCAUGGCUGGUGUCUUUUUCUUUUUUUUUCUGUUCCUAAUUUGCAAUGUAAAUGUUGCUCAUUUUCUUCAUGUUCUUACUGUUUCAGUCAUAUGUUGUAUCUGCUUUAUUAGAAGCUCAUUUCCUGUGAUCUUCAAUUGGUGUAGGAUUGUAGUAGGAGUGGCAAGCUUAUUUCCUGUUAUGUAAUAUCUAUGAGGCUAUUUUCAUGUGCAGAAACUGUGAUUAUGCAUCGAGCACCAUAUUUUAGUUGGCUAAGAAGAAGAUACAAUUUUAAUCAGCUUUAAUGAGAUGAAUAGAGUAUAUAUGCAGCCAGUACUGGAAUGUUAAGAGUUUGCACUUGGACAAACUUGUGUUCAAGGGAAAAGCUUGUCCUUUGACAAGUCCAAGAGUUAAGGUUUUCCUCUACACACACACACACACACACAAAAUCUUUCCUCAAGGUAGUUUUUUUAAUGUAGAAAUUUGUUAAGUUAGCUGCUUUUUAAAUUUCUGCUAAUUGGUUUUUGUUACGCUUUUGUUGUCAACUAACUAUACGAGGAAACAUCUUGAUGCUAUAGGGUUUAAGGUCACCUGAGAUUGGUAUGCAAUUAAGAGAUAAACCCUGGAAGAUACAUCAAGACUAGGAACACAAGAUUUUAUCCCUAGAUCAUCUUCUUAGUAUUUUAUUCAAGCAAACAAGGCCCAAGAUGCUUAUGUAACUGAUGUCUAAGAAGGAACAGUUAAACCAAAGACUAAAGCAUAGACAAACCUGAGCCAUGAACAUGGUUCUGGGUGGUAUCUUCAUAUAGUGCCCCAAUUUGAAGUCUUGCAAGAAUGUCAAUGCCUGUGUCAUACUGAUGUACCCAUAUACUUUAAAGCACAUGUUUGCGACUGGGCGUCCAGGGUACAAGUACCCCAUAAUAUACUCUGUAAUAAUGUUUAAGCCUGGUGUCUAGUUCAUCAAACACAGGAAACUAUCAGUCAGGCUAGUUAACCCAGAAUUUGGGACAUAAUAAAGGAAAUCAGCAAGCAAAUACCUGGUUUGUGGUGGCUGUGAUGAUCCCAAUGGGGAGUGUGAAGAAAAUGGCGAUGAAGCAGGCUAAUAAUACACCCCACCAUGGAAGCUGGAGCUGAUCGAUGUAGUACUCACAUGCAAAGAUGGUAAGAGCAAUGUUGGCAAUAAGGACAGCAAUAAACCACCACUGGGGCACCUGGUCAUAUCUGCUCAUGAGUUUGAAAAUUGAUAUUAGAAAAGUUCUGCUUACUGGCUUGUGGGCAAUUUUGGUGGUGCCACAGAGAGGACUCAUACCUUCCGUGAAAGAGAAGAACAUGAGAAAUGGUAGCCGUGAGAGACGCAAAGCCGAUACCAUAAGUCACUGCAAAGAAUGUGCUCAAGUAGAGUGGACCAUUCUUUUCAUAGGCCAUAAUGUCAAGGUGGAAGUUGGAGUCGAUGAUGCUGGAGAUGUUGUAACCCUGCCCAGUUGAUGUGAAAAGUCCAUCCGAGAAGAUAGGGAAGGUCUUUGCCUUGUAGAGGUUGAGCCAAUAUGAAAUUGGUGUGAUGACAUACAUGAUGAGCACAAAACCAGCUGCAACAUUGGCAGUGGCAAACCAAGGGCUGGCAAGGGGGCUGCCUAUGUAUGAGGAGAUGGUGGACCAGUCCAAGCCAAUGGCACCGAUGCCAAGGCCAUAGAGACCAGAACCCAGCUGCUGGGCAAGGAUGGACUGGGGGAAGAUCCAACAGACCCAAGAGAGGGAGGUGAGCAUGGAGACAAGGGCCCUGCAUGCAGAUAGAAGGAAAGCAGUUGAAGUAGCUUGCAACCUUGUCCAUUCUUCAAGGAAGCAUGGGGUGUACUGCUACUUAAAGUUAUGGUUUGAUCUUUCUGCUGCCGACACCACCAUUUCCUUUCUUUCCAGAUCUACUCACAGGUAAUUUUUUCAGAUCUGAGCCGUCAUAUACUCUCACUUUGAUCUUACAGUUCAUGUGCACUAACAAUUAUAUUACUGCUACACUCAUAUCGAAGUUGAUUCCGUUUAGUAAACAAGGAAACCAUGGUAAGAUCAGUUUGUAUGCCAUGUGAAUGAUUAUUAUCAUCAAGCCCAACAAUUAAGCUUCAGAUGUGAAUCAAAAACACAACAGCUGACAUCAGGUGGAUGAUUUCAUGGAGUGUCCUUUUCUUAUGAUUGACAACAGAGAGAGCUUGAAAAGAAUCUGUGUAAACACAAUUUUUUCCACUUAUUAUUAUUAGAUGAGGCUAAUAUUCAACUUUAAAUGUA